ACACCGAUGGUGAAGCGGUUAUCAUGCUUGCCUUCCACAGAGUUCACAGAGCAAGCGGCAGGGGUUCGACUCCCCUUCGGUGUA